UACCCUAUCCAUUCGGGGUAACUCUAUCGUGACUAGCUUGGAUGGUAACGUCCUGGUUAGAAAACUCACGAGACAAUGAGGGAAUUCUGGUAGCCUGAAUCGGAAUAACUG
rnacentral:ncRNA from 1 species